rnacentral:rRNA from 1 species
GACGAACGCUGGCGGCGUGCUUAACACAUGCAAGUCGAACGGUAAGGCCCUUCGGGGUACACAAGUGGCGAACGGGUGAGUAACACGUGGGUGAUCUGCCCUGCACUUCGGGAUAAGCCUGGGAAACUGGGUCUAAUACCGGAUAGGACCACUGCCUGCAUGGGGGGUGGUGGAAAGCUUUUGCGGUGUGGGAUGGGCCCGCGGCCUAUCAGCUUGUUGGUGGGGUGAUGGCCUACCAAGGCGACGACGGGUAGCCGGCCUGAGAGGGUGACCGGCCACACUGGGACUGAGAUACGGCCCAGACUCCUACGGGAGGCAGCAGUGGGGAAUAUUGCACAAUGGGCGCAAGCCUGAUGCAGCGACGCCGCGUGAGGGAUGACGGCCUUCGGGUUGUAAACCUCUUUCAGCACUGACGAAGCGCAAGUGACGGUAGGUGCAGAAGAAGGACCGGCCAACUACGUGCCAGCCGCCGCCGUAAAAC